rnacentral:rRNA from 1 species
UACGUAGGGGGCAAGCGUUGUUCGGAUUUACUGGGCGUAAAGCGCGUGUAGGCGGCGGGAUAAGUCGCAUGUGAAAGCCCUCGGCUCAACCGAGGAAGUGCAUGCGAUACUGUUUCGCUUGAAUGCCGGAGGGGAUGGCGGAAUUCCCGGUGUAGAGGUGAAAUUCGUAGAUAUCGGGAGGAACACCUGUGGCGAAGGCGGCCAUCUGGACGGCGAUUGACGCUGAGACGCGAAAGCGUGGGUAGCAAACAGG